rnacentral:rRNA from 1 species
UGAGAGUUUGAUCCUGGCUCAGGGUGAACGCUGGCGGCGUGUCUAAGGCAUGCAAGUCGAACGAUUCAAUCGAGUUUCCGCAAGGAAAUUUUGUUGGAUAGUGGCGAACGGGUGAGUAACACCUUGGUAACCUACCUCCGAGUGGGGUAUAACUCCGCGAAAGCGGAGCUAAUCCUCCAUGCGCUCCAUUAUUACCUAUAGUGGAGCAAAGGCCCCGCCUUUGGCGGGAUCGCUCGGAGAGGGGCCUAGGUCCCAUCAGCUAGUUGGUAGGGUAAUGGCCUACCAAGGCAAUGACGGGUAGCCGGUGUGAGAGCACGGUCGGCCUCACUGGGACUGAGAUACUGCCCAGACACCUACGGGUGGCUGCAGUCGAGAAUCUUCCCCAAUGGCCGCAAGGCUGAGGGAGCGACGCCGCGUGCAGGAUGAAGCCCUUCGGGGUGUAAACUGCUUUUGGUGGGGAGCAAGCUGCCGUACCUCAUUGCAUUCGGUACGGAAUUUCCAAUUUCCAAUUUCCAAUUUCCAAAUAAAUCCCAAUUACCAAAGUUCAAACAAUCGAAACAUCAUUUCGUGCUUUGAAUUUCGGAAUUUGAAUUUAUUUGGGAUUUGGGAUUUGGGAUUUGGGAUUUCCGCCAUACCGAGCGCAGUGAGGUGCGGCGGUUGAGAGUACCCACAGAAUAAGGACCUGCUAAACUCGUGCCAGCAGCCGCGGUAAUACGAGUGGUCCAAGCGUUACCCGGAUUUAUUGGGCGUAAAGCGUCCGCAGGCGGUCUGCCGCAUCUUCGGUUAAAUCCCGAUGCUCAACAUCGGGAUCGCCGGAGCGAUGGGCGGACUCGAGGCCGGGAGAGGGGAACGGAAUUGCCGGUGUAGGAGUAAAAUCCGUUAAUAUCGGCAAGAACGCCAAAGGCGAAAGCAGUUCCCUGGAACGGCCCUGACGCUCAUGGACGAAAGCGUGGGGAGCGAAUGGGAUUAGAUAAAUCCCGGUUCCGAUAUUAUAUCGGAACGAAUGGUGUCCCCUCCGAUGGCGACAUCGGGGAGUGCAUCCAGCUGUAUCGGGGAAACUCCAAAAAGUUGGGUCUACUACUGCCCAUUUGGACAAUCCCGAGGGAAGUCCGACUCGAAAUUUCGACAUAUCGGUAUUUCGCGUUGGACCCCGUAGAGACUAUGAAGUUGAUUGUGACAGAGGGUGUAAUAUUUCAUUUAUGAAUCACUACACACCCUUGUCUGAAAAUACGCGGGUCCUACUAUUAGGCUCGCUCCUUGGCGAUGGAUCUUUGAAGAUCCAUCCCUUGUACAAAAAUGCCCGUUUUUCGUUUCGCCAUUCUCACGCACAACAGCACUAUUUCAUGUGGAAGGUUGCGCAAUUGGAAGAAAUAUCGUCUGACAAGUGUAUGUGGCAGCAAACAAAAAACGGCUCCGACGGAUGGGGUACCGUUAAGUGGCGAUACCAAAGCAUGGCAUUGCCGGCUUUGACUGAACUAUUUAACCUCACUCAUCAUCACGGUAAAUUUUUAAUAAGAAGGAAGUGGCUCAAUCUGUUGACCCCGUUGUCGCUUGCGAUAUGGUGGCAGGACGACGGAUCGAUUAUCGCCAACGGCAGGAAGGGGGUAUUGUGCACUGAAGGUUUUACUCAACCGGAGGUGCAGCUGCUUCGGCAAUACCUCAAGGCUGUGUGGCACAUCGAAACGGUUGUUGCGCCGAAAAGCGCACGCGAGCCGAGUAAAGUCAGAUUGUGGUUUCGUUCUUCAGAACAGCUGCAAUCAUUUAUGAGGAUCAUAAUGCCGCAUAUUGCGGUUGAACAAAUGAUUCCCAAAUUUAUCCUUCUGUACCAUAAUCAUCAACUUCAGCAACGCUGGAUCUCUGAGGUAGCUCGGUUGUCUCGAUUUCCUUUAUCUGCGGUAGAAAAGCAUUUUCAACAGAAAAAGGAACGAUGGAAGGAAUACCGAAAUGCAUCAGAGAAUGAUAUAGUCCAACCUCUGCGGUAACGUAGAGAAUAAAUUGACCCCAGUAGUCCACGCUGUAAACGAUGGGUACUGGACAUUGGAAGUGUCGACCCUUCCAGUGUCGUUGUUUGUAAGCUCACGCAUUAAGUACCCCGCCUGGGGAGUACGGUCGCAAGACUAAAACUCAAAGGAAUUGACGGGAACCCGCACAAGCGGUGGAGCAUGUGGUUCAAUUCGACGGUAAGCGAGGAACCUUACCAGGGCUUGACAUGAUGCUGCAAGCGCACGGAAACGUGUGACCUUCGAGGGUGCAUCACAGGUGCUGCAUGGCUGUCGUCAGCUCGUGUCGUGAGAUGUACCGUUAAGUCGGGUAACGAGCGCAACCCCUACGAUGUGUUACUUCGUGUCACAUCGAACUGCCUCGGUUAACGGGGAGGAAGGUGGGGAUGACGUCAAGUCAGCAUGGCCCUUACGUCCUGGGCUACACACGUGCUACAAUGGGGCGCACAAUGGGGCGCCAAGGAGCAAUCCGGAGCAAAUCCCAUCAAAACGCCCCCCAGUUCAGAUUGAGGGCUGCAACCCGCCCUCAUGAAGCAGGAAUCGCUAGUAACCGCGGAUCAGCCUCGCCGCGGUGAAUACGUUCUCGGGUUUUGUACACGGACCGCUUGGUAGCGGACAAUUAAUGCCGGUGAAAAUCCGGCCAAACUUCGAUGAAGAGUUUGAAGCAAUGGACACGCUAAAGCUCGUGAGGGCUUUAACGAGAGUUCGGAUGCAGUUUUUAGCGCGAAUCAAUUGUGGCAUGCAUUAUGGAUGACCCCGCGUGUACAGGGGGAAAUCAUUCAUUGAUGAAAAAGUAAUGUAUGUGAUUAGGAUCGCGAUGAAGACAAACAUUAUUGUCCGUGACCCAAGGAGAUCUUGUACUUUCUAUCGAACGGUGACAUAAUAUACUCGUGGUUAAUUCAUCACGAGUACAUGUAUCUACCAUCGAUGGCGGAUUGCCUGGUAACAGACAUUCUAUGCAGUACAAGAAGUCAGCAGAGCGCAUAGUACUCAGAAAACUUUCUGGGGAAGGCGUGAACCCAAAUUAUCGCUUUCGUCCGCUGCCCCCGCAGUAUGUGGUAGGAUUUGUAGAUGGGGAAGGCAGUUUUUCAGUGAGCACCAACAUUCACAAGACGCUCAAACGGAAAGUAGAAAUUCGUCCUGAGUUUGAAAUCGAGUUACGCGCAGAUGAUGCCGCUGUUCUUUUCCGCAUUCAACGAACACUAGGUUGCGGCAAAAUAUAUUUUCUCGACUACAAGCGAUACGGAUGGAAGCCGCACGCGAAACUCCGCGUGAGUAAGAUCAAUGACUUGAGCGGAAGAGUGGUGCCUUUCUUCCUUAAGUAUCAACUUCAGUCUAAGAAGAGUAGUUCUUUCAAUAUAUUUAGAAAAGCGGUGGAGAUGGUUGCGAAGAAAGAGCAUCUGACUGAAAAGGGAUACAAGAAAAUUCUCGCAUUGCGAGAGAAAAAUAGGAGGAACGGUAAGAAAGCGUCAAAGAUAUUUGGGAACCGCUAGGGUACGGGAAAGCCGUUUGCCCAGUGGUGUGGGACAUAUGAUCCCCCUACCGCCCGUCACGCCAAGGGAGCCGGCAAUACCCGAAGCCCCCGCAUUUGCGGGGAUCAAGGUAGGGUCGGUGACAGGGGCGAAGUCGUAACAAGGCACCGGUAGCGGAAGCUGUCGGUGGAUCACCUCCUU